AGGAUUGGCUCUGAGGGCU
rnacentral:snRNA from 1 species